GUACCAGUGCAUACUGCCACCGACCAACUUCCUUUGAAAAUCUCAUUUCCAUCAUUCUGGGGGCCUGACCUGCUUGCACUUCCAAAGUCAAUCCCUUCACCAAUUCUGCCAGAGGUCUCAGGGGUCCCAAGGUGUCCCAAGCUCCCCAGGUGGUAGACAGGUAACCCCUUGCCCCACACACACACACACACACACACACACAGAAGGUGCACCUCAGCUUGUGGACACAGCACAUAUGUAAUCAAUGAGUUCUGUUGAGUCUGCUUAACAAGUUAGGGAGGCAGGCUCCUGACAGAGCAUUUCCAACUCAGUUAAGAAAGUCUAACUGAAAUAUCAAUAAACAGGCUGUGACAUAGACACCAAACAUCCUGGAGAUGGGGUUUCAGGGGCGCCCUCUGAGGGAUAGACAGGUCAGGGUUUGAUCAAGCAAGAAGAGGUUCUCCAGGAUCUCUCCAACCUCUUCCCAUGUCACCUGGCAACAGGAAGUCUAAAACAUGUGCUGCCCACAGCAAAGAACCUGAACUUGGGUUUGGACAUGGUGUGAGAGACCCCAUACCUGGGACCAUUUUCACGUCUGCAGCCAGGAAGUGCUCUGCCUGGCCCUGUAUCCCACCCACAUCCCAACCCCUGGAGCAAACACAGAGCCAACAGCUGCCCAAAGCAGCCGCCUUGAUUUACUGUCAAGCAUAAGCC
ensembl:lncRNA